GAAAAAGCGAUGACAGGAACUAGUAACAAGCCCUCUUCCUUUCAGAGAGCCGAUGGUUGGUGUGAAUCGGCAGGAAUGACUUGUGAAUCCAUCCUGGAGCGAAAUGCUGAACGCGUGAAGUUAGUAGGCAUUUCCGGUGAGAACCGUUACAUUUCUCGAGUGGAAGACGCAUGUCUUCAACUAGGGUGGCAACGCGGGAAUACUCUCGUCCCUUUC
rfam:Anoxybacillus sp. BCO1 LR68_contig000050, whole genome shotgun sequence.